GACGGCCGGGCACCGCUGGGGCUCGUACAGUCAAGUCAUACGAGAUACGACCUGUCCUGUCCAUGCCUCCAUGGUGGUGGUUUGGUUUACGCCGCAGCGCGCCGUGCCAAACGUAGGCUCGCCAAAACAUUGGCGCAGGAUUUCGCCGCCUACGUUUCCACCCACGAUUGACGAAAAAGUGCACGUACUCGGCACUGUCGGACCUGGGCACGGGCCUUGUUUACUUCCCUCCAAACUCCCAACUUUAACACUAUGCAAAAAGAAGAUUCCCCAUCACAUCAAACUUGC
rnacentral:lncRNA from 1 species